rnacentral:rRNA from 1 species
CCGGCGACCGGCGCACGGGUGAGUAACGCGUAUCCAACCUUCCGUACACUCAGGGAUAGCCUUUCGAAAGAAAGAUUAAUACCUGAUGGUAUGAUGAGAUUGCAUGAUAGCAUCAUUAAAGAUUUAUCGGUGUACGAUGGGGAUGCGUUCCAUUAGGUAGUAGGCGGGGUAACGGCCCACCUAGCCAACGAUGGAUAGGGGUUCUGAGAGGAAGGUCCCCCACAUUGGAACUGAGACACGGUCCAAACUCCUACGGGAGGCAGCAGUGAGGAAUAUUGGUCAAUGGGCGAGAGCCUGAACCAGCCAAGUAGCGUGAAGGAUGACUGCCCUAUGGGUUGUAAACUUCUUUUAUAAAGGAAUAGAGUCGGGUAUGCAUACCCGUUUGCAUGUACUUUAUGAAUAAGGAUCGGCUAACUCCGUGCCAGCAGCCGCGGUAAUACGGAGGAUCCGAGCGUUAUCCGGAUUUAUUGGGUUUAAAGGGAGCGUAGAUGGAUGUUUAAGUCAGUUGUGAAAGUUUGCGGCUCAACCGUAAAAUUGCAGUUGAUACUGGAUAUCUUGAGUGCAGUUGAGGCAGGCGGAAUUCGUGGUGUAGCGGUGAAAUGCUUAGAUAUCACGAAGAACUCCGAUUGCGAAGGCAG